rnacentral:ncRNA from 1 species
AAACGCUCUUUAAUGGAACUUUAGCUUUAGCUGGUCGUGACCAAGAAACCACCAGUUUCGCUUGGUGGGUCGGGAAAUGCGUAGAGAUCGGAAAGAACACCAAUAGCUAAAGCACUCUACUGGGCCGACACUGACACUGAGAGACGAAAGCUAGGGGAGCGAAUGGGAUUAGAUACCCCAGUAGUCUUAGCCGUAAACGAUGGAUACUAGGCGCUGUGCGUAUCGACCCGUGCGAAAUCAAGAAGAAAAAGAAUCCG